CCCUGGUCCUUUGUCUGCGAUGGUUUAAGGUUAAGGUUUUCACAUAAUUCCUCUAAUGGCGUACAUCGUAUCCAGCAAGGUUAACCAAUUUCGCUAUUCCACGCGCCUUCUCUUCUCACACCUUCUUCGCCAUGGCAGACCCUCCACGCUUUUACCACCCUUCUCUUCUCAUCUUCAACCACUCCAUCACCCUCACCAGGUUGGGAAUCAAGGUUAUGGAAAUGGGUCGUUGGGGUUGUGCCCAAGGCUUCUAUCUUCUUCUUCUUCUUCUGAUGCUUCUGCUGCUAAUGUUAGUGGAGAAAAACCAGCAUUGGAUUCAGAUCAAUCUGCAAAAGAUGGUUCUGGCAAAGAGAGAGAGUCUGGGAGUGGAGGAGGACAGGAUCAGAAAAGUGAUGCUGGGAAAUCUGUUCGUGGAGGGCCUGUUUCUUGGUUGAGCUUUCUCUUGUUGGUUCUCACUGGAGCUGGACUAGUGUUCUACUACGACAGGGAAAAGAAACGACAUAUCGAAGGGAUACGUACUAAUACGGAGGCUGUUAAGCAGGGACCUUCUGCAGGAAAAGCUGCAAUUGGGGGUCCAUUUUGCCUUAUCAACCAUCACGGAAAACAUGUAACUGAAAAGGAUUUCAUGGGAAAGUGGACUUUGUUAUAUUUUGGCUUUACUCACUGCCCGGAUAUCUGUCCAGAGGAACUACAGAAGUUAGCAGCUGCUGUUGAUAAAAUAAAGGAGAAAGCUGGAAUUGAAACUGUUCCGGUUUUUAUCUCUGUUGAUCCUGAGAGGGAUACUGUUGAACAAGUCGGUGAAUAUGUCAAAGAAUUUCAUCCGAAGUUAAUUGGAUUAACUGGUAGCCCCGAUGAGGUCAAGAAUGUUGCUCGUGCAUAUCGCGUUUAUUACAUGAAGACAGCAGAGGAAGACUCAGAUUAUCUUGUUGAUCACUCCAUUGUUAUAUGAUCUAAUCUUUGAAAUAUUUCAAUGGCAAGGAUGAGAGUAGAAAUAGUGGAGAUACUUGAUGAGUCCUGAGAUGGAAUUCGUAAAGUUUUUUGGCAAGAACAAUGAUGUUGACUCACUUGCUGAUGGUGUUAUUAAAGAGGUAACGCAGCAUAAGAAAUAACCUGCACAACCAGGCUAUUGAUACCCUCAUUUCUUUAUCGUGGAAACGAAAUUGUCAAUGAAUUUUGGCCUUGUGGUAGUAAACUACACCAGCAUGUCUGGUUUUACAAAGCAACUUAUUGGUGUCAUUGUUUCAAUGUUGUUGUUUAGCAUUGUGCUUGAAUUAUUUUUUUUGGUGAUAUGUUAUUGGUGUAUUUUGAGAUGCAACAACAUUACAAUUGUCAUGUUCAACAUGCCUUACAUCAGAGGUGGCAUCUAUAAUAAGAAAUACCAUGGUUUAUAUUGAUGAUAUAUUAAA